AUGGAUGGCCCAACCAUCUUCCAUCUUAACUUUGUGCAAAUCCUCGAGGAGGUAGCCGAUCAUUUUCACCUAGAGCCACCAGUGAUCUCUACUAGUGCUCUUUCGGAUGGAGGAAUCCAGGGAGCUGUGCACGUGCAGGUCACUCCACAUGACCCUGGUGCAUACACUACCUUCUAUGGCUAUGGCGAGGAUGAUCAUGAAGCUGGGUGCUCGGCGGCUCGUGAAGCACUUAAAUCACUCUACUUUAGUCUGAACUUUGGCCUAGUGGACUUGCACAGCUAUGAGUACUGGGAGACUUUGCUGGACUUGGCACGUUCUGAGCAGCAACACCAGGAGGAGAUUGCACAACUCCAGCAGUACCCUGAGGUUCGUAGGAAGCAAGAACUAGACGAGUUAGAGCAGGAGCAUCAGGCCCAACUUUAUGAAAUAAAGCAUGACCAUGAAAUAGAGGUGGAGGACCGCGAUCGCUGGAUCGAGGAGGAGGGGCACAAGACCAAGAAGCUGAAGCAAGAAAGAGAUGAGCUGGAAGACGUCAACAACAAACAGGAGAGUGAGAUGAUGGAUUUGAAGGCAGAGAACUGGUGCCUCCGUCAGCAGCUUGUAGCAAUGAAGGAUGAGAAAGGAAAGAACUAA
rnacentral:rRNA from 1 species